rnacentral:rRNA from 2 species
UUUACAAUGGAGAGUUUGAUCCUGGCUCAGGAUGAACGCUAGCGGCAGGCUUAAUACAUGCAAGUCGAGGGACAGCACAGGUAGCAAUACUGGGUGGUAACCGGCAAACGGGUGCGGAACACGUACACAACCUUCCUUUAAGUGGGGGAUAGCCCAGAGAAAUUUGGAUUAAUACCCCGUAAUAUAGUUGAAUGGCAUCAUUUGAUUAUUAUAGCUACGGCGCUUAAUGAUGGGUGUGCGGCUGAUUAGAUAGUUGGCGGGGUAACGGCCCACCAAGUCUACGAUCAGUAGCUGAUGUGAGAGCAUGAUCAGCCACACGGGCACUG